rnacentral:lncRNA from 1 species
AUAUAAAGUAGAAGAAGACACUACAACUUUGAAAGUUUUAGACAACACCAAGCCUUGCAUUUGCGAUUCAGUUGAGGAAGCUACUCGAUUUCUUCAUAGUUAUGAAAUCAGUAAUUCUGUUAGGUUUGCUGCCCUUUCCACUCCAAAGAGCUUUGGAAGUUCAGUUAUACAUGGAACCCAACAUAAAGUAUUAUGGGAAACAUCUGAAGACUAUGCUACUCCUUAUAUUAUAUUAUCUACAAAAAGAUA